rnacentral:rRNA from 1 species
UACGGAGGAUGCAAGCGUUAUCCGGAAUUAUUGGGCGUAAAGGGUCCGCAGGUGGCUUAUCAAGUCUGCUGUUAAAGCAUGGAGCUUAACUCCAUAUCGGCAGUGGAAACUGAUGAGCUAGAGUUCGGUAGGGGUCACGGGAAUUCCCAGUGUAGCGGUGAAAUGCGUAGAUAUUGGGAAGAACACCGGCGGCGAAAGCGCGUGACUGGGCUGAGACUGACACUGAGGGACGAAAGCUAGGGGGGCGAAAGGG